UGUAUGCCCAUUCGCCCACGAAUGAGGAUCGUGAUCGUGGUUUAUUUCCGUAUCUUGUCGUUGACAUCUAAUGUCGCAUUGUUGACUGACCUACUUGAUAUCAGAUAUCACAUGAUAAGAAUAUCGCAACCGCGCCCUUGCCUUACCCUGUCGAAAUAUGGAGAAACGGGGAUUUACCUUUAGGAAUGGGUUUCUAUAUUGUGAGGAUGUUAGAGUGAAAGACAUACAGACCGAUUUAUCAACAAACGGUAUCGUUCCAUCUUCGCCAUGCUUCGUCUACAGCAAAGAAAAGAUCGUGUCAAAUAUCAGCGCGUACCAGACUGCGUUGAAAAUGCUGAACAUUUCAACCUUGCUCAACUUUUCUAUGAAAGCCAAUCAUACACCGGCUAUACUUCAGAUUGUUCGAUCCAUGGGAUGCUCAGUCACACUAGUUAGUGGAAUGGAAUUGAAAAUGGCUCUCAAGCUUGGUUUUGAUCCACGACUGACUGUUUUCAACGGCAAUGGGAAACAGGACUGGGAAAGACUCCUGGCAAUAGAAGAAGGCUGCCUCAUCAACGUUGACAGUCCGUUUGAUUUGAUGCAGACGAUGCGUAUGUGUCAAAAACUGAGAAAAAACUCGAAUGUGCUGCUUCGCAUUAACCCGGAUAUUGAUCCCCAAGUGCACCCAUUCAUCAGUACUGGUCUAGCAAACUCCAAGUUUGGAAUAAACACUGAAGAUCUUGAAGAAUGUGUCACUCUCCUCGAAAAGUGCAGUCAGAUCACACUGGUUGGUCUUCACUGUCAUCUGGGAUCAACCAUACACAAUGUUUCAGUUUUCAGAUUGUGUACAAUGAAACUGCUUUCACUGAAAAGUGAACUGAAGACCAGAGGAUUCAAUAAUAUCAAAUAUAUCAACAUUGGUGGUGGUCUGGGCAUCAACUAUAAACAGCUGGCUGAAAGAACAAGUCCUGCCAGAUCCAGCUGCACCAUGUCAUUAGAAGAUGGUUAUACACAGACAACUGUCCAGGGGAACAACGCCAGACAACUCAAUGUGACAGAAAGGGUGUCCCAAAAUGACCUGGAUUACAACUCUGGCUGUUCAGAGCUGAUGCAUGAUGAUCUGAAGGAGAGACCAAGGAGGGAAAGCGUAGGCAAACAUCCCCUGCCAACUCAUGGAUAGGGCGUCGACCCGAAGGGCUAAUGGAUCUGGGACUGGGCUGACGUAAACAGGAAGUCGAUGGUUUAGGCAUGUGGCAAACAAAUCCAGGUUCCAACUCCUGGAGGUCUGGUGGAAUGUAUUCAGUCAGCAUUAGUGGACUCUGAAGUAACACUGAUCUUGGAACCAGGACGCUCUCUUGUUGGCAACACAGCAAUCUUAGCAACCACCGUUCUUGGAACCAA
rnacentral:misc_RNA from 1 species